UACGGGGGGAGCAAGCGUUGUUCGGAUUUACUGGGCGUAAAGGGCGCGUAGGCGGCCACUGCAAGUCGGUUGUGAAAUCUCCGGGCUUAACCCGGAAAGGUCAACCGAUACUGCAGGGCUAGAGUGCAGAAGGGGCAACUGGAAUUCUCGGUGUAGCGGUGAAAUGCGUAGAUAUCGAGAGGAACACCUGCGGCGAAGGCGGGUUGCUGGGCUGACACUGACGCUGAUGCGCGAAAGCUAGGGGAGCGAACGGG
rnacentral:rRNA from 1 species